rnacentral:snRNA from 1 species
CGUGCCUCGGCAUCAGCGUGCUC